GCCCAGAUAGCUCGGUUGGUAAUACAUCAGACUUAAAAUCUGAGUGUCCAGGUUUCAAGACCCAGUUUGGAACA